rnacentral:RNase_P_RNA from 2 species
AGAAGUCGGGGAGACAGUCGCGUCUCUUCCAACCCCCGGGUAGGGAGGUCCGAGGAAAGUCCGAGCUCCGCAGGGCAGGGUGCUGGCUAACGACCAGGGGGAGCGAUCCCACGGAAAGUGCCACAGAAAAUAAACCGCUUCCGCUUCGGCGGCAGUAAGGGUGAAACGGUGAGGUAAGAGCUCACCGCGCCGCUGGUGACAGCGGUGGCAGGGUAAACCCCACCUGGAGCAAGACCAAAUAGGGGAGGAUGAGGUAGCCCGCCUCGUUUGCACUCCCGGGUCGGUCGCUUGAGGCCGCCGGUAACGGCGGUCCCAGAUACAUGAUUGUCGCCCGGCGCGCUUGCGCGUCGCGGUAACAGAACUCGGCUUACGACCGGCUUCUCACG